CAGCUGAGAAAGUGAUCCAUAUCAUUGGUCUCAUCAAUACGGUAAGUACUUGUCCUUCACAUUUAACUAAGAAAAAAUUCAUAUUAAUGCAUUAGCAUUGCUUUUUUUUAAGUGUACUCAUGCCAACUUAGUUUCACUCAGGAGUGGAUUUGUCUCACAAAACAGUAAAUUGAAUAUAUUUGCACUGUGUAUCAAAAUGGAUCCAUUCUCUCACGGGACAUUUAGUGUAUUUCUCUAUGGUUAACCCAAAUUGCACACCUGUAUCUUCUCUUUACAGAUGUUUUCCCGGCUUAAAAUGACUGUUAUGCUAUCUUCUUUAGAGAUCUGGUCAGAUCAAAAUAAGAUUUCAACUAAUGGGAGUGCUGAUGAAGUAUUACAAAGAUUUUUGUCAUGGAAACAAACAUAUUUGUCUUCAAGGUCCAAUAAUAUGGCAUACUUAUUAAU
rnacentral:lncRNA from 1 species